UACGUAGGUGGCAAGCGUUGUCCGGAUUUACUGGGCGUAAAGAGCGCGCAGGCGGUCGAAUAAGUCGAAUGUGAAAGCCCCCGGCUUAACUGGGGAGGGUCAUUCGAUACUGUUCGACUUGAAGGCAGGAGAGGGCAGCAGAAUUCCCGGUGUAGUGGUGAAAUGCGUAGAUAUCUGGAGGAACACCGGUGGCGAAGGCGGCAUCCUGGACCAACACUGACGCUGAGGAGCGAAAGCCAGGGGAGCAAACGGG
rnacentral:rRNA from 1 species